rnacentral:lncRNA from 1 species
UGGGACCUGCGUUUUGGACCGUUAGAUUGGAAUUAUAAAUUACACCCGACCAUAUUGUAUGAAUGACCUAGUAGAGCGAUAAACUUAAAGGACUAAGUUCUUAAUGAGUUAAGUGUUUUUACUUAACCCUAAUCGUCGUUUUAUGUGAAAACCCUAAUCAUGUUUGGGCUUCGAGUUAGUCCUUUCUUUUGGUCAUAGGUGUUUGGAUUCUUGUUGGGCCAUCUGAGAACAAGUGUAUGGACUAGGACAUUUAGAUGAACUUUAGGUUAAGGCCAAUGUUAGGGGUUUGGGCCUAAUUUGGAAAAUUAGGCUAUAUUUGGGUCUUGGUUGAUUAUUUGGCUUUUGGGCCUCCAGGGUUUGAGUAUGGGCCUUGGUCUUGGACCAAGCUAGGUUAGGGGUAAAAUAGUAUUUUACCCAAAGUAUGGGUUUCUGUUUAUGCUUUGGCACCCAAUUGUUAAUUGGGUGUUGUUUUGAUGAUUGAUAGUUUGGGGAUCUAUUAGCCUGCAGCCAGGGUUUGUCUGUGUGAUUGGGCAAUGUGAGGUGACUCUUCUCACUGUAUCCAUGGGUCGAAGGCACUAAUGUCGGCCCAUUACUUGUUAUGUGGAGUGCUAGUUGUUUCUGUGAUACUUGCAUGAAAGACCAUGGGGGAGUCCAUAACAUUUGUAUAUAAGAUCAUGGGGGUGCCCAUGACAUUUGAAUAUAAGACCAUAAGGGGUGCCUAUGGUAUUUUGGUAUAAGACCAUGGGGAGCCCAUGGCAUUCCUGGUAAAUACCACAGGGGGAGUAUAUGGCAACUAUGUGUAUGUUGCAUGAUAUACUGUUGAUGAUAUUUUGUGGAGGAUAUUAUAUGGUUGUAUGCUAUGUGGUAUUUUGGGAAACUCACUAAGCUUUGUGCUUACAGUUUUCAGUUAAUGUUUCAGGUACUCUGGUUUUCAAAUGGAAGGGCUUGGGAUGAUUUCAGAGAAAACACCACAUGUUUCCGCCUUCGGUGAACUACUAUGAUUUGUCAAUGUUUUUCUAAAACUUAAUUACUCUUAUUUUUUGGGAAAUACAUGUAUUAACGAUUUAUUAAUUUAAAAACAAAAAAAAAUUAUAUUAUGAUUUUUAGGGUGUUUCAAGUUGGUAUCAAAGCCUUGGUUUGAGGGAUUCAGACAUACUCUCGGGUGUGUCUGAACUCAAACUGAGGAAUUGGUAAAGUUUUCAAAAAGAAAAGUAUUUUAAGAAAAGAGUUUUUAAGAUAAGAGAAGGUGUGGUGCAUGCAAUCAACCGAGCUCAAGUAAGUUUUCCCAAAAUACCAAUAUGUGUUAUUUGAUAUGACUUGAUUUAUGAACCUGUGAAUCGCAUGCUAUUUAGGUCUAAGGAUCUGCCCAGUUUUUGCAUGAUAGAAUGCUUGGAGAGAUACAUUUGUAUGUAUAUCGUAGGAGUUGGUAGACUUGCAUGCUAGUGCUGAUUAGUUAGUGGUAAUUGAUCUGAUAUGUGAUACCUUGUUGCAUUAGGAGUAGUGGAUGCUAUUUUGAGAUGGGAAUAUCUAUUGGAAUCAUUAAUUGCUAAGUGUAUGCUUUAAAAAUUGUAUACAGUUAGGAUGUGAUAGCCCUAGAAUAAUUGAUUUGGUCUUAUUUCCUGUUCCUUGUUUGGUUGUGGUUUUUGGGUGGAGUCUGUUAUUCGAUAGUCUAUUUGAUCCUCUUUUGUGUAUAAUUUGCAUGCAUAAGGCAACCGAUAGUAGGGGUGGAAUUUCUAGCAUAAGUGUUGGUGUGUAGGGUGAAUGUUCUAUGACAGUUCUAUAGAUUGGAGUGUUACUGCACGAAUGUUGCUUGCUUUGUGCUUUGUGGAACUCUUUGAUGAUAUGAGUCAGCUACUAAGUGAAUAGGAAGGUAUUCAUGAGGUGGAUGAUUGGCAUUAUGAAGAGUUCUUUAGCAGCUGAUGGCAGAGUGAGGUUGGGGUUCUAGGUGAGCCUAGGGAGUGUUGCAGUGGUUGUAGUUGCAUUGUUUAGUGAGCUUUAGUGCAUCAGUUUGAGAAUGUGACUUAGAAGAUUCGGGAUGAUUCUUGAGGAAAGUAUGGAUAUGUGUGGAAGGUAGUAUUGGGCCAGUACUACUGAAAGCACAGGAUCCAUACUGGAAUCGGGGAGAGUCUUGGAGAAUCUAAGUAGGUUGGGGAAAAGGAUUCUUGAGUAUGUUUUGAUCUUUUGCAUGAUUGUAUUUUAGUUUGGUUAUGGUUCAGGUUUUGGUUCUAGUUUUGGUUCUGGUUUGGGUUCUGGCUCAGGUGCAGAUGCUGAGCCGAUUAGUGAGUGGUUGUGGGAGUUCAUCUCAUCGGAGAUUUCUCGUUGUAUUUCUGAUAUAUUGGAUGAGCGCUUGGGCGUGUUCCAUGCUUGUGGAGCUCCUGCAUUCCAUGGGGAGAGGGACCCUGUUGUCAGUAGGGGAGGUUAGUAGAUAUGGCUAACGCAUUCAGGAUGAGUUUUUUCCCCGAGGAGGCGAAGAUCAUAUAUGCCUCCUACCUUUUGAAGGACAGUGCACAAGAUUAGUGGGAAGAGUUUAGUAGUGAGUUGGUUGAUGAUAUCAUUGAUGUUAUGUCAUGGGAUGACUUCUCGACUAGGUUCCAGUAGAGAGUAGCCAGUUAUUUCAGUGUAGGUCUGGGAGAGGCCAGUGCUCCAGCAGGUGAUAUUGCGGGUAUGUUGUCUUUUGCUUUUCUUUGGUUUGCUAUUAGUUUUCUUGUUGAUGGGAUUUUGUAUUAAUUUGGGUAAGCAUUAUCUUCGGGUUAUUGCUCUGUUAUCAUUGGGUUAUAUCUUCGGGAAUUGUUUCAUGUCUUUUGCAUGCCAUAAACCAUUAGUUAUUCAUUGAGGGGUUGUAUAUCGUGUAGCGAGUUCCAAUGUGUUCAGCUGCUAUUCGGGUUUUUGGUCAGAAUCGGUUUGGGGGUAUUGUGUAGAAGGCAUGUAGUCAAGAUGCAGUAGGUCAGUUCUCCGGUAAUCAUCAUGGUUCAGUGGUUUUAGUAUUCGUUCCGGUACGAGCGAUAGUUGCCUAUAGAAGAGUUGUUGGGUACGAACACUACCGUUGCUAAGUGAGGUACGGUAGCAGGAAGAUGGUGGUGUCGGUUGCAUGAGUUGUUUGGUUAUUGGUAAUGUUAGGGGAGUUUUAUAUUCUCUCAGUUGUAGUUGAGUAGGAAUCAAUAAUUCUUUGAGAAUGGAAGUUGGGAUAAUAUUCGUUGGUUCAGGGCAAGGGUUAUAGUUUUAGUCACCAGCAUAAGAGCUUAGGAAUGGUCUCAUUGCAGGUAAUCUGACUCCAUAUCAGAAGGUUGCGUGUUCGAUUCAUGACAGGUAGAUUACCCUUUAGGAUUUCAGGAUUUGGGUGAUUAUGGAGUUGGGUAAUAAUGAAACGCUAGUAUUGUUUAGCGCAGGGCAUGGUUAGUCCAUUAUGUUUGAUGGAGAUGGGUCGGAGAUGUAUAAGGAUUAAGAGGUAAGAGACCUUCGUUGAGUCCAAGUGGGGGAGAAUUAAAUGGUUGUUCAGAUUGAGGUUGUGUUGGUGGAAGAUCAGGAAACUUCCAACCGUAAUUUCGCAUCUCUAUUGUGACCCGAACUCCAUAAUAGUCGCAGGAUUCGACUCAACUUGCAUGGUGUUCUGAUGAUUUGAUCUUGGUAAGGCUAUGGGUGGUAAUCAUGGUUGGUUGGAAGUGUUGUAAGACCGCAAUGGGAUUGUAGCAUUCACCAGUUCGAAGUAAGCUAUCAUUGGUAGUGGACAUGGGUGUAAAGGGGGAAUCAGUUCGUACCUUGGGCACGCCAGUCCGGAUUGUUAAGGAAUAUUUCUUUGAUAUAGGUUAAGGACCAUUAGGGUCCGAGUUAGAGUUGGGCAUAUGUAGCCCUAGAUGGGUGGGACUCAUUGGCAAGGCCUGUGUGAUUUUGGAAAUUCAGGUUGGACCUGGUAGAGACCGUUGGGUCGAGGUUUUGGAUCUUGAGUUGCAGGAUCAUGUGGUUGUUUAGUGUGUAGCGAAGAGGGGUUAUUAGGUUGGGUAGUCUUGUUGUUGGACUCUUGGGAGCCUGGUGGUUGGAUCGGGGUACCAAUAUGUCGAGGGCAUCGAUCGAAGGGUUCAAGGGUAAUGAAUGGAUUCAGUUUUGGAUGGUAGGUUAGCUCUCGUGAUUGUGUCUCAGAUUGGUUCUUUUAGCAAGACCAUCAAGAUAUGUCAGGUCGAUAAUAUUGACUUGGAACUCGAGGGUGGAAUAGCUUGUUAUUCGAAGGAGAAGUAGGUCACUUUCAGUUGGGAUUAGAUAAUCUCAUAGUAAAUGAUUUGACCCUUUUGUGAUGCUCUCACUUGAUACUAACCAUUACAGGGAUAAGUCUCAUACUCGAAGGAUUAUCUGAGCCUCCUGUCAAGUAUAAGUGUUAUGCAGAGAUAUUUGGUUCGUGAUUCUGUUAUCUAGUGAGAACCUCAAGUUAUCAGAAGUAGAGUAGUAAAUUGGGAGAUCAGUGGACUGGAUUCAAAAAUAAUGAUUCAGUAUGGGCGGCCUGUUAGGGAGUCAAGUCAUCUCGAGACUUCAGAUUUCAGAUUGAGUAAAUGUGAUCAUGUUGUAAGGAAUUCGUUCAUCUUCGGGUUGUACAGCCCUACGAGGGUUGGUUUUGGUUGCCGUGGGAAGGCUGGGGUAUGCUUGGGGUCAUGACCGUGUUACUCAAGUUGUUGACGUGUCGGGAAUGGUAAGGAAUGAUUUCGAGGAUAAAAUGUAAUUUAAGUGAGAAAAAUUUGUAACACCCCGCUUUAAAAAUAAACCCUAAACUCGGGAACGUUAUUUAAGUGUUUUUUAUUCCGAUAAAUGAAAUUUAAAAAAAGGGUUUUAGCGAGGAAGUAUGUAUUUGGCGUUAUAAUUUGUCUUGGAGGUCUAAUGGGUACUUUCGGGGUUUGUGGUGUAAAGAAUAACUGAGCAUGUGGCUAAAGAAAAAUUAUUUGUAAUUGUUUUGUAGCUUUUGGGCUUAAAUUGAAAAGGCUUUGGAAGUUGGGCUAAAUGGUAAUUUAUGGAUUUAUUUUGGAAAAGAUUAGAGAAGGGGGGACCAAUCGUGUCAAAAAUGAAAUGAAUUUAUAUCGGAGAUGGGUCUAAACCCGUCACUAGCCUUCCCUCCCAUUUUUUAAGUAAGAUGGAACCCUAACCCUAACCUUAGCUGCAUCCUUCAGCCGCCACCAUCUUUUUUAGAGUCUUCUCAGCCGCCACCUUUGGGGCCGUUGCUGCCGCUUUUCGGUGGAGGCACAACCUCCAUUUUCCCCACUGUAACCGUCCUUCCUCCUCCCGUUUCUUCUCUGCAGCAACUAGCUCGUGUAUGCCGCCACCGUCGCUCCUUGUGGAUGCCUUUUGCUGUGCUCCGGUUGCCGCCUGCCACCCGAAGUGAAUAAAUUGGGUGUGUGUUUAGUGAUAACUCUCGUGUUCGUGUCUAUGUGUGUGUUGCUGCUACAACUGAGAAGUGUAUGUGGGUGUUUAUUGGUAGGAAACCGAGAAAAAGAACCAACAUGGCCGCCAACCAAGGUGGCUGCCGCUUUCUACCAUCCUUUGUCACCACCAGCCACCGUGGGAGGAGCUGUGUGUGUGUUUUGGUGUAAUUAUAUGUGUGAAUUAUGGAGUGAUGAUGUAGGAGCAAUCUUGGAAAAUCAAGUAAAAUCCUCCACCACCGCCGUGAGGUGGUGGCUGCCGUCGUGUGUCGCCAUCGACCACCAUUGCCCGAGGUGACAGUGGGUGUGUCCAGCCUAGUGAAACCCCAAUUGACCUAAAAACUUAAUUUUGGACCUUGUGAAUGCUGGGACCCGCAUUUUGGACCGUUGGAUUGGAAUUAUGAAUUACGCCCAACCAUAUUGUAUGAUUGACCUAGUAGAGCGAUGAACUUAAUGGAUUAAGUCCUUAAUGGGUUAUGUGUUUUUACUUAACCCUAAUCGUCAUUUAAUCUGAAAACCCUAAUCAUGUUUGGGCUUCGAAUUGGGUCUUUCUUUUGGGCUUAGGUGUUUGGAUUCUUGUUGGGCCAUCUGAGAACAAGUGUAUGGACUAAGACAUUUGGAUGGGCUUUAGGGUAACGCCAAUUUAAUGGGUUUGUGCCUAAUUUGUAAAAUUGGGUCAUAUUUGGGCCUUGCUUGAUUAUUUUGCUUUUGAGCCUCCAAAGUUUGAGUAUGGGCCUUGGUCUUGUACCAAGCUAGGAUAGGGGUAAAAGAGUCUUUUACCCCAAGUAUGGGUUUCUAUUUAUGCUUUGGCACCCAAUUGUUAAAUGGGUGUUGUUUUGAUGAUUGACAAUUCGGGGAUCUGUCAGCCUGCAGUCGAGGUUCGUGUGUGUGAUUCGGCAGUGUGAGGUGAGUCUUCUUACUAUAUCCAUGGGUCG